AAUUCGCAACCUUCAACCCAUCAACUGGGAACUUGCUUUUUCUGUGAUUAAUACGGCCUUAAGUUACUCUUGUAUAUUAAUUCAGUGUCAGCACAGUUGGAGUCAAAUUGAUGGUUUCCCAUGCGCCCCUGCUGAAUAACUUGAUGAUUUAAGGAGAACAUUUAAGAAGGAAAUUAAAAGGAUUAUGAUGAUGAUGGCCCCCCAACAAUUAUUGAAGAGUUACACAAGAUAUUCUGAGAAAAUCAGAAACCUAGAAAUGGAGUUUAAUUAAUCAUCAUCGUCAUCUUGGGGGCGUCAGCAGGAAGACUAUUUAGACAUGCACAAUCAUCGCAUUUCUCGAAAGCUUGAAUAUCUCAUAUCUCUGAUUAUUUACGAGCACUAAUCCACUUGGAUAAUGCCUAGUUGCCUCCCAUA